rnacentral:rRNA from 1 species
GAUGAACGCUGGUGGCGUGCCUAAUACAUGCAAGUCGAGCGAAUGGAUUAAGAGCUUGCUCUUAUGAAGUUAGCGGCGGACGGGUGAGUAACACGUGGGUAACCUGCCCAUAAGACUGGGAUAACUCCGGGAAACCGGGGCUAAUACCGGAUAACAUUUCGAACCGCAUGGUUCGAAAUUGAAAGGCGGCUUCGGCUGUCACUUAUGGAUGGACCCGCGUCGCAUUAGCUAGUUGGUGAGGUAACGGCUGACCAAGGCAACGAUGCGUAGCCGACCUGAGAGGGUGAACGGCCACACGGGGACUGAGACACGGCCCAGACUCCUACGGGAGGCAGCAGUAGGGAAUCUUCCGCAAUGGACGAAAGUCUGACGGAGCAACGCCGCGUGAGUGAUGAAGGCUUUCGGGUCGUAAAACUCUGUUGUUAGGGAAGAACAAGUGCUAGUUGAAUAAGCUGGCACCUUGACGGUACCUAACCAGAAAGCCACGGCUAACUACGUGCCAGCCGCCGCAGUAA